AGAAUCCUACGGGACGCAGCAGUGAGGAAUAUUGGUCAAUGGCCGAGAGGCUGAACCAGCCAAGUCGCGUGAGGGAUGACGGCCCUACGGGUUGUAGACCUCUUUUGCCGGGGAGCAAAGAGCGGGACGCGUCCCACCUCGAGAGUACCCGGAGAAAAAGCAUCGGCUAACUCCGUGCCAGCAGCCGCGGUAAUACGGAGGAUGCGAGCGUUAUCCGGAUUUAUUGGGUUUAAAGGGUGCGCAGGCGGAAGCGCAAGUCAGCGGUAAAAUUGAGAGGCUCA
rnacentral:rRNA from 1 species